rnacentral:rRNA from 1 species
UACGGGGGGGGCAAGCGUUGUUCGGAAUUAUUGGGCGUAAAGGGCUCGUAGGCGGCCAACUAAGUCAUACGUGAAAUCCCUCAGCUUAACUGGGGAACUGCGUGUGAUACUGGAUAGCUUGGAUUUGGGAGAGGGAUGCGGAAUUCCAGGUGUAGCGGUGAAAUGCGUAGAUAUCUGGAGGAACACCGGUGGCGAAGGCGGCAUCCUGGACCAAUAUUGACGCUGAGGAGCGAAAGCCAGGGGAGCAAACGGG